rfam:Dictyostelium lacteum strain TK GLQOFTK02G2F2O, whole genome shotgun sequence.
AUUCUCAUAGUGUAGUAGUUAUCACGUUCCCUUCACACGGGAAAGGUCGCGAGUGCAAAUCUCGCUGGGAAUA